GGGGUCGUGGUGGAUCCGGCCAUCGCCGAGUGCCUCUACGUGGCGCUGACCACGGACACUGGUUCGUUCCGGUUCGAGGCGACCACCCC
rnacentral:tRNA from 1 species